AACUUGGCAUUUUGUUUUCUCUAAAAACAAAUUAAAAGUUAAUAAACUCAAUAGUUACUUAAUACUAUUCAUUUUGCACAUUACAACGUUCGAAUGAAUAACAAUUUACAGCUUUCGUUUGUAAAUUGAUGAUCAUUAUUUCAAUAUAUAAUUGUUAAACAUAAGUAGCUUAUUACAGUAGAUAGUACUCCAUUUGUGUUUUCAAUAGACGUAUGUUCCACUUUCGAUUAUUAUUAUGACAUGUAUAAAACCAGAUAUUACACGAGUGAAUUUAGUGAUAAUCAGAUAUUUUUAGUGUUGUGACUAAAUCAUUUUUUUUUCUUCAUUAAUUAUUGAAGUGUUUAUAUUUUCGAAAAUUCUAUCAGAUAAGACGAAACAUUAAUACCACGUACCAAACAAAUUCUAAGAAUUUCAAAUAUAGUAAGAUAAGACACACACCAUCAUCUUUUUUUUUUACUGCGGAAAAAUAAUAAAAAAGAAUACGUCAUGAUGUUAUUGAAUUACUCAAUAUAUUAUAUGCAAACUCCAGUUUACCAAUUCAUGGGCCUAGUACCAUGAGACCUAGUGGUCUCCUCUAAACAAAAUUUCUUGAUUUUGCAGGGAAUUGUACAACAUGUUGUAUGUGCACUUCUACCACGAUACAUAUCCACUCCAUGUAUUAAAAUUCUAGUAAUUCAGAUACACGUUAAGCUAAUGAGAUGAAAAACAUUGGCAAAAUAAUCAUCUUUUCGCAGUGUCGGCCUGGCUCAGAAGGCCUUCAAUAAAUUUAAGAUUUUUUUUCUCGCUGGACCACUGAGAAAAUUGUCUAACAAAUUUAAUUAUUAUUGAAAAAAGGAAAGGCUAUUCAGAUAUUUUUUUCGAGGAAAUAUCAAACUGAUUUCAAUAAAUGUAUAUUAGAUUUUAAAGAAAAAGAACUUUAAAUAAAUAAUUUUUUACUCCUUAAUAUUUUUAACUUUUCUUUGAG